rnacentral:miRNA from 1 species
AAGGCACUGGAUUGGUCAGUU